UUUUCAGUAUUUGAUAGCCCAUUUAUCAAGGAAGGCUAGGGCUAUAGGCUAUAUAUUAUCUCGCAAAGACCAAUAAGAGUGGACCACCAAUGAAGAAUGUUUCAAAAUCGGAUUUUUUCCUUCUGAGACCUUCCCCAGCUAGCCCAAAGUAACUAUUCCACGUGGACAAAGUUGCGGGUAGAAGCUAGUAGAAAAUAAAAUUCAGAUAAUUUAAGAAUGCUGAAUACAGCUUUCUCCCUUUGCCCUCUACUUCGCAGCCACCACAAGGACUUACUUUUGAAAAAACACUAGUUUCCCAGAAUGAAUCAGUAGAAAAUGUUAAAGUUCCUGUUCGCAACUAUGAAAGAAUUGUGGGAAAACCUAAUAGAAAUAGAGAUUCUACAUUAACUGAACGUGAGAAGAUCCUGCUGAGUCAUUUGACUCAAACUAAAUUAAGCUUAAAGCGUUUGGCAGUCGAAAUGCGAACUGUGAGGAAGACACAAAUAAAUUAUUUGUAGCUUAUAACGAUAUUAGCAGGGUCCGCACUGACAUGCCUAAUAGAAAUAAUAAUGAUGACAUUCAAGUUGUUGAUGA